AAACAAGGAAAUGGCAGUAUGAACUCUCUCAACCUCUCAAUCUCAUUCUCUAUCUCUCUUUGUCUCUCUCAAUCUUGCUUUCUCUCUUUGUUUGUCAAUCUCCUGCUCUCUCUUUAUGGUUCUUUUGAAAUCUCUAUUUUUCAUUCAUUGUCACUCAGAUCGCCCCUUGGAUUGUCCAAAAUGAUCUCUCUAGGGCAACACAAAAUCAACAUUUUUAGCUUUGAAAUAUCUAGAAAUUGGAGCAACAUUAUUUGGAUCGUCGUUGCCUUGCUGCUGCUUGUUUCCUCAAUGCAACUUUGAAAGAUCUAGAAAUUGGGUACUUUGUGUUAUGAUCUAUUCCCCAUCAUAAUGUGUAUUGAUCAGGUGCAAGCUUGGAUUUGAAGAACAUAUAUCUCCAUGACUCGAAGAAGAAUGACCUUAUGUUUAUGAACUCAGACAAGUUUUGUGACUUCCAUAUCAAAAUUUGAGAGCGAAGAACCAUGUUGGCAAUCAAGACAGGGAAAUUCUCUUCAAUAAAUUGUUAUUUUCACAUUCUUUGGGUUUUGGGAUUUUAAUAUGAAGACGGAUCCUAUGUUUUAAUAUGAAAUUGUGCAGUCCCAAAUGUGUUUUAAAGUCCAAAAUGUAAUAAAAUAACUUUUUCUAGUUUUUUAGUUGUAAUAACUUUUACAUAUGACUCCAAUUUUGAGACUCAAAUGGAAUGCCUGAUUAAACAACAAUGUUAUACUGUUUGAAUUCUUGUCAUUGCUAUUUUUAGAAUGCUUAACGUUACACUUUUAUGUUUCUUUUUUCUUUUUUGCUUUUUGUUUUUUUGCGACAGUAACAAAAUGGUCGCCAAAAAACAUGUUAGCAUUUUUCUUUAUUUUUUGCGACGGCAAAAUAGCCGUCACCAUAAAUAGUUUCGGCAGUCGCGAAUAAUUUGCGACCGUUGCUUUGUCAUCAUAAAAAGUAUUUGUCACCCCCACAUUUGCGACCCCCAUUUACCGUCGCAUGGACGAUGGCAAAAGGUCUUUUGUGACUAUAUUUUUAUUAUUUACGACGGCUUGUGGCGGUCGCAAAAGUGUUUUUUUUAGUAGUCUAUACAAUGUAAUUGAUAAUAUGUUAAUGUUUUUCUUGUUUAUUUAUUUAUUUU